rnacentral:rRNA from 1 species
AGUCGUACGACUUCUACGGGAUUUCUUUCGGGAAAACCUGUAGAGAGAGUGGCGCACGGGUGAGUAACACGUGGAUAAUCUACCUUAAGGACUGGGACAACAUUUCGAAAGGAAUGCUAAUACCGGAUAAGCACACGGAUCGCAUGGUCUGUGUGAAAAGCUGGCCUCUGCUUGCAAGCUAGCACCUUUAGAUGAAUCCGCGGCCCAUUAGCUAGUUGGCGGGGUAACGGCCCACCAAGGCAACGAUGGGUAGCCGGCUUGAGAGGGCGACCGGCCACACUGGAACUGAGACACGGUCCAGACUCCUACGGGAGGCAGCAGCAGGGAAUUUUGGGCAAUGGGCGAAAGCCUGACCCAGCGACGCCACGUGAGUGAUGAAGGCCUUUGGGUUGUAAAGCUCUUUCAGCAAAGAAGAAGGUAUACCUUUUAAAUAAACUGGUAUAUUUGACGGUACUUGCAGAAGAAGCCCCGGCUAAUUACGUGCCAGCAGCCGCGGUAAUACGUAAGGGGCGAGCGUUAUCCGGAUUCAUUGGGCGUAAAGGGCAUGUAGGCGGUGGUAUAUGUCGAAUGUGAAAACCCAAGGCUCAACUUUGGGACUGCAUUCGAAACUGUAUCACUAGAGUGCUGGAGAGGAAGUCGGAAUUCCAAGUGUAGCGGUGAAAUGCUUAGAUAUUUGGAAGAACACCAGUGGCGAAGGCGGACUUCUGGACAGCAACUGACGCUGAAAUGCGAAAGUGUGGGGAGCGAACAGGAUUAGAUACCCUGGUAGUCCACACUGUAAACGGUUGGAACUAGGUGUAGGAGGCGUCAACCCCUUCUGUGCCGGAGUUAACGCAUUAAGUUCCACGCCUGGGGAGUACGAUCGCAAGGUUGAAACUCAAAGGAAUUGACGGGGGCCCGCACAAGCGGUGGAGCAUGUGGUUUAAUUCGAUCAAACCGAAGAACCUUACCAGGGUUUGACAUAUUUACGACCGCCAUGGAAACAUGGUUUUCCCUUCGGGGACGUUUAUACAGGUGUUGCAUGGUUGUCGUCAGCUCGUGCCGUGAGGUGUUGGGUUAAGUCCCGCAACGAGCGCAACCCCUAUCGUCAGUUACCAGCGGGUAAAGCCGGGCACUCUGGCGAGACCGCCGGUGUUAAAUCGGAGGAAGGUGGGGAUGACGUCAAAUCAUCAUGGCCUUUAUAUCCUGGGCUACACACGUGCUACAAUGGAUGCUACAACGGGUUGCAAUACCGCGAGGUGAGCUAAUCCCUUAAAGGCAUUCUCAGUUCGGAUUGCAGGCUGCAACUCGCCUGCAUGAAGUUGGAAUCGCUAGUAAUCGCGAGUCAGCUAUAUCGCGGUGAAUACGUUCUCGGGCCUUGUACACACCGCCCGUCACACCACCCGAGUGGGGUGCACUCGAAAUCGCCGGCCUAACCAGCAAUGGAGGGAGGCGCCUAAGGUGUGCCUGAUAAGGGGGGUGAAGUCGAAACAAGGUA